UUAAAUUGAAGAGUUUGAUCAUGGCUCAGAUUGAACGCUGGCGGCAGGCCUAACACAUGCAAGUCGAACGGUAACAGGAAGCAGCUUGCUGCUUCGCUGACGAGUGGCGGACGGGUGAGUAAUGUCUGGGAAACUGCCUGAUGGAGGGGGAUAACUACUGGAAACGGUGGCUAAUACCGCAUAACGUCGCAAGACCAAAGAGGGGGACCUUCGGGCCUCUUGCCAUCAGAUGUGCCCAGAUGGGAUUAGCUUGUUGGUGAGGUAAUGGCUCACCAAGGCGACGAUCCCUAGCUGGUCUGAGAGGAUGACCAG
rnacentral:rRNA from 1 species